GUAGUCAACAUAAAAAUAAAUUUUCAAAUCCUGGCUUACUGGCCUGAAGGACCUCAGGUUCUAUAUGGGAAACAAUUCCAUCUUCCAAAGUGAAUGUUCACUCUGUUUGCUUUUCCAGCCAGGAGUUUGGAAGAAGCCAGCAGGCACUGUAGUCAUUGGAUAAUGUCCUCUUCACUGCCAAGAUGGAUUAAUGCUGGGAGAUCUUACAACCAUUAAGAAGACAAGUCAUCCAUUCUGCUUAAUCCCUUAUGGACGGACCACUGGGCCU
rnacentral:lncRNA from 1 species